rnacentral:rRNA from 1 species
CCUACGGGUGGCAGCAGUGAGGAAUAUUGGUCAAUGGACGAGAGUCUGAACCAGCCAAGUCGCGUGAAGGAUGACUGCCCUAUGGGUUGUAAACUUCUUUUAUAUGGGAAUAAAAUGUUCCACGUGUGGGCUUUUGUAUGUACCAUAUGAAUAAGGAUCGGCUAACUCCGUGCCAGCAGCCGCGGUAAUACGGAGGAUCCGAGCGUUAUCCGGAUUUAUUGGGUUUAAAGGGAGCGUAGGCGGAUGGUUAAGUCAGGGGUGAAAGUUUGCGGCUCAACCGUAAAAUUGCCGUUGAAACUGGAAGUCUUGAGUGCAGUAGAGGUGUGCGGAAUGCGUGGUGUAGCGGUGAAAUGCUUAGAUAUCACGAAGAACUCCGAUUGCGAAGGCAGCUCACCGGACUGCAACUGACACUGAGGCUCGAAAGCGUGGGUAUCAAACAGGAUUAGAUACCCCAGUAGUC